AUUGAACGCUGGCGGAAUGCUUUACACAUGCAAGUCGAACGGCAGCACGGGAGCUUGCUCCUGGUGGCGAGUGGCGAACGGGUGAGUAAUGCGUCGGAACGUACCGAGUAAUGGGGGAUAACGCAGCGAAAGCUGUGCUAAUACCGCAUACGCCCUGAGGGGGAAAGUGGGGGAUCGCAAGACCUCACGUUAUUCGAGCGGCCGACGUCUGAUUAGCUAGUUGGUGGGGUAAAGGCCUACCAAGGCGACGAUCAGUAGCGGGUCUGAGAGGAUGAUCCGCCACACUGGAACUGAGACCACGGUCCAGACUCCUACGGGAGGCAGCAGUGGGGAAUUUUGGACAAUGGGGGCAACCCUGAUCCAGCCAUUCCGCGUGAGUGAAGAAGGCCUCGGUUGUAAGCUCUUCUAGCUGGACGAAACGGU
rnacentral:rRNA from 1 species